GCCGGGAUAGCUCAGCUGGGAGAGCAACAGACUGAAGAGUACACUGUCUUCUGGAGGUCGCGUGUUCAAUCCACGCUCCUGGCA